rnacentral:rRNA from 1 species
UACGUAGGGUGCGAGCGUUGUCCGGAAUUAUUGGGCGUAAAGAGCUCGUAGGCGGUCUGUCGCGUCGAUCGUGAAAACUUGGGGCUUAACCCUGAGCUUGCGGUCGAUACGGGCAUGACUGGAGUUCGGCAGGGGAGACUGGAAUUCCUGGUGUAGCGGUGAAAUGCGUAGAUAUCUGGAGGAACACCGGUGGCGAAGGCGGCAUCCUGGACCGGCAUUGACGCUGAGGCGCGAAAGCCAGGGGAGCAAACGGGG